rnacentral:rRNA from 1 species
AUACGGAGGGGGCUAGCGUUGUUCGGAAUUACUGGGCGUAAAGCGCGCGUAGGCGGACCAGUCAGUCAGGGGUGAAAUCCCGGGGCUCAACCCCGGAACUGCCUUUGAUACUGCUGGUCUUGAGUUCGAGAGAGGUGAGUGGAAUUCCGAGUGUAGAGGUGAAAUUCGUAGAUAUUCGGAGGAACACCAGUGGCGAAGGCGGCUAACUGGCUCGAUACUGACGCUGAGGUGCGAAAGCGUGGGGAGCAAACAGGAUUAGAAACCCUAGUAGUCC